rnacentral:rRNA from 1 species
GACGUAGGGGGCGAGCGUUGUCCGGAUUUAUUGGGCGUAAAGCGCGCGUAGGCGGCCGCGCAAGUCGGAUGUGAAAACCCGGGGCUCAACCCCGGGCGUGCAGCCGAUACGGGCAGACUAGAAUUCGGUAGGGGAGACUGGAAUUCCUGGUGUAGCGGUGAAAUGCGCAGAUAUCAGGAGGAACACCAAUUGCGAAGGCAGCUCGCUGGGACGUAACUGACGCUGAGACGCGAAAGCGUGGGGAGCAAACAGG